CCUACGGGAGGCAGCAGUGGGGAAUAUUGCGCAAUGGGGGAAACCCUGACGCAGCAACGCCGCGUGAGUGAGGAAGGACUUCGGUCUGUAAAGCUCUGUUAAUGUGGAAAAAUGGUUAGUGGUCUAAUAGGCCAUUGAUUUGAUGGUACACAUAGAGGAAGCACCGGCUAACUUCGUGCCAGCAGCCGCGGUAAUACGAAGGGUGCAAGCGUUGUUCGGAUUUAUUGGGCGUAAAGCGCGCGUAGGCGGACCUGCAAGUCAGAUGUGAAAUCUCGGGGCUCAACCUCGAAACUGCGUCUGAAACUACAGGUCUAGAAUCUUGGAGGGGGAAGGGGAAUUUCUCAUGUAGGGGUAAAAUCCGUAGAUAUGAGAAGGAACACCAGAGGCGAAGGCGCCUUCCUGGACAAGUAUUGACGCUGAGGCGCGAAAGCGUGGGGAUCAAACAGGAUUAGAUACCCUGGUGGUCCACGCUGUAAACGAUGAAUACUAGAUAUUGCAGGAUUUGACCCCUGCAGUGUCGUAGCUAACGCGUUAAGUAUUCCGCCUGGGAAGUACGGUCGCAAGACUAAAACUCAAAGGAAUUGACGG
rnacentral:rRNA from 1 species